rnacentral:rRNA from 1 species
GCAAGUCGAACGCUCCGCAAGGGGAGUGGCGCACGGGUGAGUAACACGUGGGAACCUACCUUCUGGUACGGAACAACCAAGGGAAACUUUGGCUAAUACCGUAUACGACCUCCGGGUGAAAGAUUU